rnacentral:rRNA from 1 species
GAUGAACGCUGGCGGCGUGCCUAAUACAUGCAAGUCGAACGAGGUGCUUUUGUAGCAAUACGAGAGUAUCCUAGUGGCGAACGGGUGAGUAACGCGUUGGUGACCUACCCCAAAGUGUGGGAUAACAGUCCGAAAGGAUUGCUAAUACCGCAUGUGGUCUUCGGAUUUAGAAACUGAUGACUAAAGGAGCAAUUCGCUUUGGGAGGGACCUGCGUCCCAUCAGCUAGUUGGUGAGGUAAUGGCUCACCAAGGCUACGACGGGUAGGGGACCUGAGAGGGUGACCCCCCACAAUGGAACUGAAACACGGUCCAUACACCUACGGGUGGCAGCAGUAGGGAAUAUUGCACAAUGGGCGAAAGCCUGAUGCAGCAACGCCGCGUGUGCGAUGAAGGCCUUCGGGUUGUAAAGCACUUUUCUGGGAGAUGAGCAAGGACAGUAUCUCAGGAAUAAGUCUCGGCUAACUACGUGCCAGCAGCCGCGGUAAU